rnacentral:rRNA from 1 species
UACGUAGGGUGCAAGCGUUGCCCGGAUUUAUUGGGCGUAAAGGGCGCGUAGGCGGCUCUGCACGUUCGUUGUGAAAUCGCCCGGCUCAACUGGGCGGGGUCAGCGGAUACGGCAGAGCUUGAGCAAGCUAGGGGGCAAUGGAAUUCCCGGUGUAGUGGUGGAAUGCGUAGAUAUCGGGAGGAACACCAGUGGCGAAGGCGACUCACUGGCCCGGUACUGACGCUGAGGUGCGAAAGCGUGGGGAGCAAACAGG